GCUUACACUGCAAGUCGAGGGGCAGCGCGGUAGCAUACUGGCGGCGACCGGCAAACGGGUGCGGAACACGUACUGAACUUACCCUGAUCUGGGGCAUAGCCCGAAGAAAUUCGGAUUAACUCCCCAUAAUAUAGAUGAGUGGCAUCACUUGGCUAUUAAAAAUUUAUUGGAUCAGGAUGGCAGUGCGUCCCAUUAGCUAGUUGGUAGGGUAACGGCCUACCAAGGCGACGAUGGGUAGCUGGUGUGAGAGCACGACCAGCCACACGGGCACUGAGACACGGGCCCGACUCCUACGGGAGGCAGCAGUGAGGAAUAUUGGUCAAUGGACGCAAGUCUGAACCAGCCAUGCCGCGUGAAGGAUGAAGGCGUUCUGCGUUGUAAACUUCUUUUACCUGGGAAGAAACCUCCGAUUUCUAUUGGAGUUGACGGUACCAGAGGAAUAAGCACCGGCUAACUCCGUGCCAGCAGCCGCGGUAAUACGGAGGGUGCAAGCGUUAUCCGGAUUUACUGGGUUUAAAGGGUGUGUAGGCGGGUCUUUAAGUCAGUGGUGAAAUCUCCGAGCUCAACUUGGAAACUGCCAUUGAUACUAUUGAUCUUGAAUUCUGUUGAGGUAAGCGGAAUAAGUCAUGUACCGGUGAAUUGCAUAAAUAUGACUUAGAACACCAAUUGCGAAAGGAGCUUUACUAACCAGAUAUUGACGCUGAAGGACAAANCCGUGGGGAUCAAACAGGAUUAAAAACCCUGGGUAAUCCCGCCCCUAAACAAUGAUUACUCCCAAUUACGCGAUAAAAAGGGGGUGUCUGAACGAAAGCAUUAAAGUAAUCCCCCGGGGAAAUAUAACCGCCAGGUUGAACCUCCAAGGAAAUUGAGGGGGGUCCGCACAAACCG
rnacentral:rRNA from 1 species